CCCUUAGAUGUUCUGGGCCGCACGCGCGCUACACUGAUGCAUUCAACGAGCCUAUCCUUGACCGACAGGUCCGGGUAAUCUUUGAAUCUGCAUCGUGCUAGGGAUAGACUAUUGCAAUUAUUGGUCUUCAACGAGGAAUUCCUAGUAGACGUAGUUCAUCAGACUGCAUCGAUUACGUCCCUGCCCUUUGUACACACCGCCCGUCGCUCCUACCGAUUGAAUGCUCAGGUGAGCCAUUCGGACUUUCAUCAUGCUGGUUUCCAGUUUUGAUGAAGGAAAGUCUUGCGAACCUUAUCAUUUAGAGGAAGGAGAAGUCGUAACA
rnacentral:rRNA from 1 species